UCCCAUCCCUGGCCUCAGAUUCCUGAAUGUGUCCAAAUGAGGCUUAUUCCGGAAAAGCGAGUCGUGCAGAAAAAUACACUCACACCCUUAAACUGACAGCGUGAUUUAACUUUGCAAAGGACACUUAAAGUCUAAGUAUUCCUAGUACUUCAAAAUGUCUUCAAAUAUCUACUUAAAGAGAAAAAGGAUUUUGAAGAGCUCCAGGAUGCUCCAAUGUUUUCCUGCCCUAGGUUGACCCUCAAACGUUACGUCAUGUCCACAGGACGAUGUGGCCCAUGAAGAACCCUUUGGAACUGAGAAACAAGCUGUGUGCCCAUAUGUGAAACCACCAAGACCUCCAACACACUCACCUCUACUGACCUUAAAGAGACAAGAGGCCCCAGGACAUGAAGAGAUAGAGCAGUCGGGGAAAUCGAGGGCGUGAGGCUCACUCCAUGGCCCUGGCUGGAGUCCAUCUGAGGAUGCAGCUGCAUCAGCCCUAGUUUGGGGAUUACACGGAAGGGGGUCGCCCACCUUGGCUUUCCUGAUGCCACUGGUUAUCCUAUGCAGCCAUCAACAAGUCUGGAUCCCUCUGCACACGGUUGUGCUCUGCCUCCUCUAUGUAUGCUGAGAGUAUGGCCAGAGAUGGAGCGAAUCCUUCAGAACAGAGUCCAGGUGAUCUGCAAUCCAGAGACCCUCAACUUGCCCUGGGGGAGCCCAGGUUAGCUCCCAGCCAGACCCUGCUUCCAAAAGUCUUCAUGGUGGAAAGACUUUCAAUAACCUGGUGGCACUGCCCUCUGCUUGGGGGAACCAGGAGGUAAAUCUGGGACCCUUCAGCUCUUAGCGUCUGUGAGGUCUACUUGUAAGAAGUCCCCUCCCCCACUACCUCCCAGUUCUGCAGCUGAGACGGCUCUGCUCCCAUUUCAACCAGCACCGGAUCCAUUUAUAGCAUCAAUUUUAUUUGCUCCAGCCCCAGCUCCCUCCCGGCUCCCCAGGGGCACCCGAUCCAGAAUGCCAGGCCCUGCUUCC
rnacentral:lncRNA from 1 species